GUCAAGCUUUGAGUUCUAUACCUUGGAUGUGUUAGUUGUCCAGCUAGACCAAGCAGUUCUGUGGAUGCCCUAAAGGUUAUGGACACCCAGCUCUGAUGUUUCAGCUGUUACAGUACCAGCAAAGGAUUUACUGAAGAGAUUACGUCGAGAUCUUGCACAUAGGUACAAGGUUAGGUCUUGUUGAGAAAAAACAAAGAUUUAAAGCAAGAUGGUUUACAGAAAAAGUAUACUUUUGGGCUUGAUUUUCCUCGUUCUCAUUGGACAUGAAACCUGUCUCGUGACAGCAAGGUCAUCAUGGCUCGCGACUGACGUCACCAAAACCUGCCUACUCGCCUUGACACGAUGCGUGCUACCCAGCACUGAACCGGAAGCUGUAAAGAUCAAACAGAAAGUGCACAUCUGCCACAUCCUGGCACUGAAACAAGACUGUCUGGUCAAGCCUGAAUCCUGCACGCAGGGAGAAUACGACAAGAUGGCCGCUGAAUGUAGUGCUGCAGGGUCAGUGCUGACGUCACUAGCUGUGAUCCUGUCCGCUGUUACUCUCACACUGUGUGCAAUAAGAAACUGAUUUCUUUGUUCAUAGCUCUUGUGUCUAUAUAUCGGCUUGAUAUACUUUGUACACAGAAAAUAAAUUAUGUUAAUUAUU